UUAUCCACGUACCACCUUGCUACCAUCUAAACCACCCUCCCCAACCCAACUCCAAGCCAGUCACCAGUGAUUUGUGGGCUCGAUCACUUUUGCCAAGGAAGAGGAAGCUCCGAUUUACGUGUUGGAUCUUCAAGCCAUUGAAGCCAGCUAGGAAAGUGUCUGCUUAGAGAUUCCCAUCUCGCUUCCACAUUUGUAGGCGUUCGAAGGAGCGAUCUUUCUGAGGAAACAUAUGAUAAAGCUGUUAAAGUGAAAGGGGAUUUCCAAUUGGGCCAAGCUAAGUGAUGGUGAAGCAAAGUAAGCAACAAGGAGUCUACAACAGCAGGAAAAGCUAUAAGAUGCAAAGCUGCAAUAUGUAGAAACGCUGGGGAGCCGCUUAUUAUAGAAGAGAUUGAAGUUGACCCUCCAAAAGCUUGGGAGGUUCGCAUCAAGAUCCUAUGCACCUCCCUUUGUCAUAGUGAUAUAACCUUCUGGAAAAUGAAGCCAGGCCCUCUUUCAGACUUUCCAAGAAUUUUCGGGCAUGAGGCCACUGGCGUUGUUGAGAGUGUUGGAGACCAUGUGGAAGAAGUAAAAGAAGGAGAAUUGGUGUUGCCUGUGUUUGCUCCAGACUGUGGAGAGUGCAGGGACUGCAGGUCAACCAAGAGCAACAUUUGCUCCAAAUUUAGUGUAAGUUCUGGUCAGUUCGGCAUGCCUAGGGAUGGAACAAGCAGAUUCAGAGACAUGAAAGGGGAGGUCUUGCACCAUUUCUUGAGUGUGUCAAGCUUUACUGAGUAUACUGUGGUGGAUGUUGCCCAUAUGGUGAAGCUCAGCCAUGGCAUCCCAGUUGACAAGGCCUCCUUGCUAAGCUGUGGAAUUUCAACAGGGAUAGGAGCUUCGUGGAAGUUGGCAGGAGUGGAGGAGGGAUCCACCGUGGCUAUAUUCGGAUUGGGGGCAGUGGGACUUGCGGUCGCAGAAGGAGCUAGGCUACGUGGUGCUUCCAAGAUUAUUGGAGUGGAUUUGAAUCCUGAAAAGUUUGAGUUAGGAAUAAAAUUUGGGCUAACUGAUUUCGUCAACCCUUCAACCUGUGGGGAAAAGUCUGUAAGCCAAGUCAUUAAGGAAAUGACAGAGGGAGGUGCUGAUUAUUGCUUCGAGUGCGUUGGAUUGGCCUCAUUAAUGACAGAGGCCUUCAGAAGCAGCCGAGAGGGAUGGGGCAAAACAGUGAUACUUGGAGUGGAAAUGCAUGGCUCGCCAUUAAGCCUGAACCCCUAUGAGCUUCUCAGAGGCAAAAGCGUCGCUGGCGCCCUAAUUGGAGGGCUAAAGCCCAAAUCUGAUAUUCCACUUCUGGCCGAGAAAUAUAUAGACAAAGAGCUUAAUUUGGAGCAGUUCAUAACACAUGAAGUGAGCUUCAAGGACAUCAAUAAAGCCUUUGAAUUGCUUCUUGGAGGGAAGAGCCUGAGAUGCGUAAUAUGGAUGGACAAAUAGCUGAAUUACAUUUCCUUCUUAUAUAUAAAGAUGAUGAUACAUGUUCCUGUUUAAAGACAUGUCUCCCUUAAAUAAAAAUUAUAAUAGAGAACAUCAAUAAUUAAAUAAUUAUCUGUAAGAAUUGUCUUACUGCAUAUGAUGGCACUCGUGGAUUAUGGCCUAUCAUGUCUUGUUUUUGUUGUUUACC
rnacentral:misc_RNA from 1 species